GGUACAUCGGUGACAGGUGGUGCAUGGUUGUCGUCAGCUCGUGUCGUGAGAUGUUGGGUUAAGUCCCGCAACGAGCGCAACCCCUAUUGUUAGUUGCCAUCAUUCAGUUGGGCACUCUAGCGAGACUGCCGGUAAUAAACCGGAGGAAGGUGGGGAUGACGUCAAAUCAUCAUGCCCCUUAUGACCUGGGCUACACACGUGCUACAAUGGUUGGUACAACGAGUUGCGAGUCGGUGACGGCGAGCUAAUCUCUUAAAGCCAAUCUCAGUUCGGAUUAUAGGCUGCAACUCGCCUACAUGAAGUCGGAAUCGCUAGUAAUCGCGGAUCAGCACGCCGCGGUGAAUACGUUCCCGGGCCUU
rnacentral:rRNA from 1 species